UGGGGAAUUUUGGACAAUGGGGGAAACCCUGAUCCAGCCAUCCCGCGUGUGCGAUGAAGGCCUUCGGGUUGUAAAGCACUUUUGGCAGGAAAGAAACGUCAUGGGUUAAUACCCCGUGAAACUGACGGUACCUGCAGAAUAAGCACCGGCUAACUACGUGCCAGCAGCCGCGGUAAUACGUAGGGUGCAAGCGUUAAUCGGAAUUACUGGGCGUAAAGCGUGAGCAGGCGGUUCGGAAAGAAAGAUGUGAAAUCCCAGAGCUCAACUUUGGAACUGCAUUUUUAACUACCGGGCUAGAGUGUGUCAGAGGGAGGUGGAAUUCCGCGUGUAGCAGUGAAAUGCGUAGAUAUGCGGAGGAACACCGAUGGCGAAGGCAGCCUCCUGGGAUAACACUGACGCUCAUGCACGAAAGCGUGGGGAGCAAACAGG
rnacentral:rRNA from 1 species